AGAGGAUCUCUGGAUCUGUCUUCCCCUCUACAGGAGACCUUCGACUUUACACACAGAUGGUCAGAUUCCUGGCUGCCUCUAGCUUUAUAAAAUCCAACCUACUUCUUCCGAGGCCCAGCCCCACCCCUGCCAAAAAUGUGAGGGGCCAGCAUGCUCCCCUCCUCCUCUGCAGUUUAUGGCACCCGCCCAGCUUAGAGUGUCCUGGACCCCUCUCAGGACCCAGAGCAGGAGACUCUGCACCAUACUCUACUUUGAGAUGGCCCUGAGUUGCCCCUGUCACGCUGUUUUUGCUGAGGGCCUGCUUCCUCUCCCAAGCUUUUGGAGCGCAGCAUCAAAUAAACCUUUCAAUUCCCAGUUUCUGCAUAAACUGUCCUGGGAAGAGAAGGACUUGGACAAGUGGAUUCUGGGAAGCAUGACCAAGACCCAGGCUGAGAGUAGUAGGGAAAAGGAGUGGGGGUGGGGGGUAGUCCUCAGAGCUGGGACCAGAGGUUAGGAGAGGAACCUAAGGGACUUUGGAGGAGAGUGGCAAUGGGAUAAGGAAGUCAGUGGGAAUCUCCCUGCGCCACCCUGGCCGUGGUCUUCCAUCUUGCUGACAGGAAAACUGAAUCACAGACAGCAAGAAACCCUUGCUGAAUACCAUGAGCCCACUGGCAGUGAGGCGGGGAAUCAGACACCAGAAUCCUGCCUGCCAGCUGUGUCUAGAAAGUGGAAACUAUAGAGUGCAGAAUCUGGUGGCAGUAUUUGGGGGCAGAUGGAGAGCCAGAGGUGGCACUGAGGACAACAAAUCCCCAGAGACAUCAGGGCCUGACCACCCAGUCUCCUUCUAGGCCCCACCCAGUCUGUUAGCUAUACGACCUUGGACUUUUUACCAAGCCUCGCGAUCACCUCAGCUCCCCUCUGCAAUGGGGGUGUGCAGAGCACUGCCUUUGUAGGGUUGCCAUAAUGAUUGAUUUAGCCCAGCACACAGUAGUCAUCCCAGCCUGGCUCCCAGUUGCCUUUAUCUCACACACAAACACCACCAUCCAUUCUUGGUGCCCUCUCUCCUCAAAGUCCCAAGAUGGAACAAAACUUUGAAAGCUUCUGCAAUGUUUCUUGAAAGCUGCAAAUAGGAAGGGUAGAGAGGGAGAGGUUGGGAACAGAUAGAUAACAUACCUAGUCACCCUCCUCAAGGGCAAACAGAGCCCCCAGAAUAAUGGGAGAGAGGCGAGCCCUGGAGGGAGAGGCCAAGGGAGGGUCCAGGUGUCCACUCUGAACCUCCCUGAUUCCACCCAGUAACUUUCUACUGGCCCAGAGUUGGCUGCCAGCAUGUGCUAGCUGCACAGCUUCUCCCAGGCGUGGCCCCCUGGUCCCCUCCCCAGUAGAGCCUGCAGGGGGCUGGGUGGCUGACGCAUAUGCUGCCCAAGAUCUCAGCCGCUUGGAGGCUGAUAAGGAGACUGGACCUCAUCACAUGGGACCAGCUGGAGGGACUGGCCGGGCUGUUAGCAUCAGCUGAA
rnacentral:lncRNA from 1 species